ensembl:lncRNA
GGGAGGAGGGGCUGGGAGGAGUGGGCGAAGGGGUGGGUAAGCCUUUCCUGGAGGUGAGCGCCCGGCCGCGGACGAGGACCCUGCGCAGGGGACGGGGCGGGGACCGGGCUGCUGGCGGGGUCGGGCGUCAUCCCCACCCGGGGGCGUCCCGGGCCGCUUCGGGCUGUCCUCCCCGGACCCGCGGUGGCCGGCUGGUGCCGGGCUGGUGUCCGGCGGGGGGCCCACCGCGAAGCCCCGGCUCUGACGAGGUCCCUUGCACCCCACCUUUGGAAGGCUGUCAGACUUUGUCACUUUCGCUUUCGUCCCCACCCCCCGGGGGCAGGUGGCUUCACUGUCUUGGAAAAGGGAGACAGCCACGCCCGCGGGGCCGUGGAAAUCUCAGAACGCUGCCCAGCUGCCAGACCACAGGCCUGAGCCCCGCCCACCCAGAGCACCGGGAAAACAGCCUCCACGGUAAAUAUUGUUGGCCUUUACGUUAUAAACAAUCUGCCGAUGAAGACAGGGGAAACCACGGCUGGAAUGACAUCCUCCCAGGCGUGAGUUUUUCUCCUUUAGGAAAACCAAAGCCCUUUCUCCUGAUUCACCAAAUUAACACUGACCACCUGCGUCACUGAUGAAGUUCCUAUGGUCUCGGGAACAGAAGUUGUGGAACAGUUGGGGGACCUGGGCCCCUAGAAUGGGGAGGACGUGUCAGGAGCUCCCUGUGUUAGGCCUGGGAGGGUUGAACCAGUCCGAAGGGCUCAGAAUUUGGAGGGAGUGCCACAGAUGCCCAGAAGGAUAUUUCCAGCUGCGUCCAGACAAGCAAGAAGAAGCGACAGGCUCACCCUCAGACGCUGGUGGUGUAAUGCUCACAGAACGUGCUGGUUGUUCCUCGUGAGUGAUGGGUUGGAAGGAGCAGCCGUCAGGAGGUCCAUGAACCCUGGAAGCUCGGUGCAAAGUCUGGUUCCUGAUACGCGUGUGCAUCUUUGGAGGUCAAGGAAUCAGAGCUAUUGGAGUCUCAAAGUAUUUAAGAACUACUGUAGAGUGCAGUCCCUGCAUGUUGCUUUAGGGCCCCGUUCCCACCGUGAGACAGGAAGAAGGCUGGGGAGACAGAGUGUGGUCUUCCCCAACCACGCGUCUCCCACAUCCUCAGUGCUCUUCCUGCCUCCUUCAGAGCACCUCUGAGAUUCUGUGUGUGUCUCUAGGAGGAUCUCCCUCCCGAGAACCACGCCUCCCACCACGUGGCCCGGUGCUGCCCCAAAUUCUGGAACUACAGCCCGAGACGCGUGCUGGGAGCUCAGAGCCUGAUGCAGGGUCGCCACAGGAACCCACCAUCUCUUGUCCCGUCUCCGUGAAGGUGCCAGGCUGCCCUUCCCAGGCUGGUUCGCUCAGGAAUCGGGAUGGCAGGGAUGGUGUUGUGAGAGCCCGUGCCCUCAUAGGGGGCUAGGGCUGGCCUCUGGGGCUGCCGAGGGGCCAUAACGCCGCAUCUGCCCGUUUCUGCUUGCUUUCUGAGUAGUCUCCACUUUAUCUACUGAGAUCACUCUGAACUUGAAUCCCACUUCCCAAAACACAGGUGUGUCUUCUGUAAAUACAAGGUCAUUGGCUCCAAGGCCCACCUGAAUCCAAAAGAAAUUCACUGAGGAAGAAAGCAGCAGUUUUACUUUUGUGACUCAGUCUGAUCAUCUGUGCGAGGGACAACCACACGCUACGUGGGUGGAAAUAGUAUGUAAGAAUAUCUGGCUUUAAUCAUCGCAGCGCCUACAGUGAACGUGGGAAGAAGGGACUAGAAGCUUUACCUCGAGGCUGCAGUGCUUAGGAAAGCAGCUUUUUACCACAAAUGUUUAAAUGACCAGACUUUUCCAUUCUGAAAUGGAAUCACACAUCUAAUCUAAUUUACCCAUACACAGAAUUUUAAAGAAAUCAGUGUAAUGCCCUAACAGGAAUAUCCAAAAGAAGUUAAAGGGAAAGUCAUUUAUGAUGAAUUAAUAUGAGCCCCACACUAGGAGGCAAAAUGAGUGAUUUGGACUCUCAAACUCACAUAUAAAGAAUAAGUUCGGGGCGCCUGGGUGGCUCAGUCAUUAAGCAUCUGCCUUCGGCUCAGUCAUGAUCCCAGGGUCCUGGGAUCGAGUCCCACAUCGGGCUCCCUGCUCCGUGGGAAGCCUGCUUCUCCCUCUCACACUCUCCCUGCUAAAAUCUUAAAAAAAAAAAAAUAAGUUUGGAUUUAAGAGAUGUAGGAAAAGAUUUAUUGGACAUUUUUUAAACUUUUUAAAAAUUACAUUUGACAUUUAGAAAUGAGGGUCGAAUAAACUGGCUUACACGCAUGCACACACGCACGUGCACACAUGGUUCCAGGCGCCCCCCCCGGGGCCUUGGGCACCAUGAAGGGAUUUUCUGAAAUGGUGAAUAACUCCUCGUCAAGCUCCAGAUGGAAUAAGGUACGAUCAUCCCUAGAUUUACAAGGUGGUCACGUGCCUGGAAAACUCAGUAUAUAGUAAAACAGUGCAAGAAAUACAUUGUUGGCCCCGAGAAGAGAGUCGGGCUCUGAGGUAGUUUUGAGCACGGUUUUAGCUUCCGGGGCCACCUGGUGGGACAUCCUCCAGCCAUGGGCGCCCAGCGAGCCUCCCCGCUCCCUGGGGGGCUCCCGUCACCUCCUCUCUGCGACCAAAACACCCCAAAACUCCCCGCAUGCUCACAGGAUGCUCCGGCAGAGGCAGCGUCCCCAUCGGGAGCCCCUGUGCUACACGGGAUGUUUUGUGGAUAAAAUGCAGUUUCCUUCUUACCAGAGACAGUUCCUCCAGCAGAUCGAAUGCCCUGACAUUUCGCCGGUGGGGUGACUCACUCCACUUUGGAUUUCCUUUCUGGCGGCAAGCAUCCUUCCCCACCUGCUGCGCUGAUGGUGAAGGUAGCCGAGUCAGGGAGACAGACCACAGAUAAGGAAAACGGAGGUCGCACAAGGUGAUGAAGGACUUGGAAAAUACGCAGGGUGGUUUCAAGAGUCAGGGGAUGGGGAGUUAUUGCGAGUAGUGAGUGUGGGGGAAAGCUCUUGAGGAAGUGUCCACGUGAGAUCCAGCCAUGUGAGCAGCAAACAGGAAGCAGCAUGUGCCAAGGCCCUGAGGUUGAACAGAGUUUGGGGUGGCAGAUGGGAGCCCCGUGUGGUGGAACUAACACCGGGCCUCUCUGUUUCCUGUUCUUCCCUCGGGUCUCUGCUCAAAUAAAGUAUCAUUGGGGAGGGCUUUCCCAGCUACUCUACAAAUAGCCGCCGGCCCCCGCCCUGGCGGUCCCAGUCUCCAUGUUGCCGGUUUAUGUUCCUUCUUCUGUUGGGUGUCACCCCUUCCUCACUUGCCUGCACUAGAACAUAAGCCUGCGAAGACGAGCGUGGCCUGUUUGUUCACCCCCUCCUGGGCCCCAAACAGCACCCAGCACAUGGCGGACGUGCAGCGCACGCUUGUCCAGAUGAUGCUGGGGAGACAGGUGGAGACAGACCACAGAAGUGAGAAGGAGGGGAGCCGCCUGGGGAACGCAAGGAGAGACCAGAAGUGAGUGGGGACAGGGGGGUCUCCAGGCCAUAGACAGGGCGAGCGGCCCACAAGAGGUGCGGGGCCUCCGCUGCUGCCGCCCCUGCCUCAGCCUCGGCAGAAAUGGUGGAGAAAUGAGCAACCCUGAUCAACAUUCUUGCCGAGUUCUUCCCCAUGAUUAGUAAAUGCACGGUUCAAAUGCCUGGGGUCAACUCCGGGUGCAUGCCUACUUCUGAUUUGCUGUAAUUUGCGUGUCUCAGCCUCAGGGUUUCCAUGGAAACCCCACCACAAAUCAGCCCCAAGGCGGAACAAAGCCUCUGUAGAGCUGUGGGCCAGCCCCAUGGGAAGCUGUCUCCGUGGCCGCGGGUUAAGGCUCUGUGCAGACCCACACCUGCUUACUGUUACCCCCUUCCUUCACCCCAUUCUCCAUCCUCCAAGCCAUGGGGUCCUUCCUCUCCUCCGGAGGUUCCACUCAGAGCAGGCUGAAUGCGCCCCCAGCACAGGAGACGGGACGCCUCACCACCCGGCACAGUACUGGGGACACAAGCCAGACGCAGGUAUGGAUGCCCUGUACUGACGCCCACAGGCUGUUCUAGACCCACCAUGACGUCCGAUGCUUCGUGGAGAUUGACAAAAAGGGCGAGCGUUUGUGUGAUGAGAUGUGCCAUGUGUGAUGCGACAUACCGUGAUAUGACGUGCUGUGUGUGAUACGACGUGCCGCGCGAGAUCCCAUGUGCCGUGCGUGAUCCCAUGUGCCGUGUGUGAUCCCAUGUGCCAUGUGUAAUACAUGUGCCGUGUGUAAUACAUGUGCCAUGUGUGAUCCAUGUGCCAUGUGUGAUUCAUGUGCCAUGUGUGAUCCCAUGUGCCGUGUGUGAUCCAUGUGCCGUGCGUGAUCCCAUGUGCCAUGCGUGAUCCUGUGUGCUGUGUGUGAUCCACGUGCUGUGUGUGAUCCCAUGUGUCAUGUGUAAUACAUGUGCCGUGUGUGAUGCGACGUGCUGUGUGUGAUCCCAUGUGCCAUGUAUGUGGAGCGAGGGCAGAGGGGUAGAGGGGCUUGUGCCCUGGCCAGGGCAGCUGGGGAGCAGCCGUGGAGCCGACAGCAGGUGAGGAGGGGUCCCUGGCAGGGGCGGGGGAGGGGGAACACAAAUGUGUCUCUACCUGCUAUUUUCUCCAGCUUUCUCUGCAAACCUUGAAUAAGUGAUUGCAUGAACUAAUGAAUGAGAAACAGACUGUUACAAAGAUCAAGAACCUCUGAGGUACUUAGAACAGCGCUUACUACACAGUGUAAGCCAGAACGAGAAGCGCUAUCUGCACUGACACGUCAGCCACGGCCACGCCACGGGGUCUGGAGGGGUGGGCGCAUCAUGGGGGAGCCCCUGAGUCCUAGGGGCCCGGGUGCGAUGCCUUGAGCUGGGACAGCUAUGUUUCCGUCCUCCCUCCUUCCCCGCAGGAUCAUGGGAGGCCACCUGGACUUUCUGUUCGGGGUGAUGCUUGCAGCCAGCCCUGUGCUUGUGAUUCCUUCCUGUGCCUCUGACGGUCUGAGGGCCUUGUAUCGCUCCUGCAACCUCACCCAGGUGCCCCCGGUCCCCAGCACCACCCAGACCCUCCUGCUGAGCUUCAACUACAUCCAGACUGUCACAACCACAUCCUUCCCCUUCCUGGAGCGGCUGCAGCUGCUGAGCUUGGGACUCAGUUUAUCCCCUUCACCAUUGGCAGAAAACCCUUCAGAAAGCUGCCCAACCUGAGGGUCUUGGACCUGGGCAAGAGUCAGGUGGAUUUCCUGCAUCGCGAUGCUUUUCAGGGGCUGGCCCACCUGCUUGAACUUGGACUCUUCCACUGUGGUCUGCCUGAUAAUAUAUUAAAAGAUGGUUAUUUCAGAAACUUAGAGUCUUGUCUCACCUGGACCUGUCCAAGAAUCAGAUUCAUAGCCUUAACCUUCAUCCUUCAUUCUGGGAAUUGAAUUCCCUGAAGUCCAUUGAUUUUUCCCUCAACCAGAUCCCCAUUGUGUGUGAACUUGAGCUCCAGCCGCUGCAAGGGAAAAAUGCUCUCCCUCUUAAACCUCGCUGCCAGUCACCUGUACAGCAGGGUCUCCGUGGACUGGGGCACGUGCAUGAACCCGUUUACAAACAUGGUCCUAGAAACCCUGAACGUUUCUGACAACGGCUGGACCGUGGACAUCACGGGAGCCAGAUCUCUC